GAUGAAGAACGUAGCGAAAUGCGAUAAGUAAUGCGAAUUGCAGAAUUUCCGUGAGUCAUCGAAUCUUUGAACGCACAUUGCGCCCAUUGGUAUUCCGAUGGGCAUGCCUGUUCGAGCGUCAUUAUCUUCCCUCAAACCUCGCGUUUGGUGUUGGGCCGUGCUGGUUCCUGCGGGACCAACUGGCCUCAAAGACAAUGACGGCGUCCGUGGGACCCUCGGUGCAACGAGCUUUUUCAGGAGCACGCGUCGAGUUUUAAAGGACCUUUCCGGGCCGGUCUCUCCGUAUGUUAUUACAAAGGUUGACCUCGGAUCAGGUAGGGAUACCCGCUGAACUUAAGCAUAUCAAUAAGCGGAGGA
rnacentral:misc_RNA from 1 species